rnacentral:misc_RNA from 1 species
UAAUCUCGCACUUACUAAUCCUGGUGGAUUAGGGAGUGGUGGACUUGGGUGUUGCUGCGUCACUGUGGCUCAUCUUAAAUGGAGUAGUGCAACUCUUGGUUGAACGUAGAACAGCGUGAUAAGUAUCUUCGCUGGCUCCUCACUCGUAAGAGAGAGGGUGUGCGAUCGGGAGCUCUGUGCUUCAAACUACACUGUCUUUGGACAAUAUUUGACA